GAUGAAGAACGCAGUGAAAUGCGAAAAGUAGUGUGAAUUGCAGAAUUCCGUGAAUCAUCGAAUCUUUGAACGCACAUUGCGCCCCUCGGUAUUCCGUGGGGCAUGCCUGUUCGAGCGUCAUUUACACCCUCAAGCUCUGCUUGGUGUUGGGCGUCUGUCCCGCUUUAUGCGUGGACUCGCCCCAAAGUCAUUGGCAGCGGUCGUGCCAGCUUCUCGCGCAGCACAUUUGCGUUUCUUGAAGUUUGGUGGAUCAGCAUCCAGUAAGUUCUUUUAUGACUUGACCUCGGAUCAGGUAGGGAUACCCGCUGAACUUAAGCAUAUCAAUAAGCGGAGGA
rnacentral:misc_RNA from 1 species